rnacentral:lncRNA from 1 species
GACACUCCGACGCAUGACAGAAAUCCACAAGCCGAAAUUAAAAUGCAUGAUGCCGGUUCGCCUUCCCAGUGUAACAGCUGGUGCCAGCUCACCUUUCGCAAAUGACUUCUGACACCAGAUCUCCCUACUGAUGCGACAGUUCGAGGAUGAUAAAGUGGAUAAUCGACCGUAUUCUAGAGAAUGUGGUGGCAGAACCAAGACUCG